rnacentral:rRNA from 1 species
CCCUUAGAUGUUCGGGGCCGCACGCGCGCUACACUGAAGGAAUCAGCACGUCUUUCUCCUUGUCCGAAAGGACUGGGUAACCCGCUGAACCUCCUUCGUGCUGGGGAUUGGGGCUUGUAAUUCUUCCCCAUGAACGAGGAAUUCCCAGUAAGCGCGAGUCAUAAGCUCGCGUUGAUUACGUCCCUGCCCUUUGUACACACCGCCCGUCGCUACUACCGAUUGGAUGGUUUAGUGAGAUCCUCGGAUUGGUCCCGGCGCGGCCUCUGGUCGUGCCGGAGUGCCGAAAAGAAUGUCGAACUUGAUCAUCUAGAGGAAGUAAAAGUCGUAACA